AAACCCUCCACUCUCUAAAUACCCCUUCAUUUAUAAUUCAUUCAUUUAGUUUAGUGAAAACUCUAACCGUGGCCUUCUAUGAAUCAUCAUAGACUCCUAUCUAAGGCCCAAUUCAAUCCUUCGACUCUGUCCCCUGUUUCAAUGUCAAACUGCUCACACAGAAAGUCAUAUCGUUUCCCUGUUUCAGUUGCAGACACUUGAGAGAGAGAGAGAGAGAGAGAGAGAGAGAGAGCAUGAAUGAACAGACAUGCCUGGCUCAUCAAACUUGGCCUCGACACAAACCCAGCAGUCGUCACUCGCCUCAUCAACGACUGCACACAGUCAUCAUCGUGCAACCUCAAUUACGCCCACAAACUGUUCGACCAAGUGUCUCAAAAAGACACAACCCUUUGGACCUCCCUCAUCUCCGCCUACACUCGCUCCAACCACCCACUUAAAGCCCUCCAACUCUUCUCCCUCAUGACCCGCCAACCCGGCUCGACCCUAAAACCCAACCACUUCGUCCUUGCCACCAUCGCGCGUGCCAUUGCUUCCUCCCCACACCACCUCCCUUUGGGUCGGACUGUCCAUGCCCACGCCAUAAAAUCCGGUUUUUUACCCUCGAAUGUCGUCCUUGGGACGGCAUUGUUAGAUAUGUACUCGAAAUGUGAUAUGCCUGGUUUUGCUUGUAAGGUGUUUGAUGAUUUGCCGGAAAGAAAUUUGGUUACUUGGAAUGCAAUGGUUUCUGGGUAUGUUCGUAAUGGUAUGGAAAUUCGUGGGCUGGAGUUGUUUUAUUGUAUGAAGUGUGUUGAGUUUUGUGGGCCUGAUGAGUUUACUGUGGCCACUGUUUUGGCGGGUUGUGGGCGGGCUAAAGAUUUGGUUUUGGGGAUGCAGAUUCAUGGGUAUGUGAUUGUUAGUGGGUUUGAGGCGGUAUGCGCGAAUCCGAUCAGUAGCAUGUACUUUCAGUGUGGGAAAGUUUGUUGUGCUGAAAGAGUUUUGGAUGGAGUGGAAGGGAAUGUUGUUUCGAAACUUGUAAGGAUAAGAGGGUAUGUCUUUAAUCAGAGAUAUCGUGAUGUGAUUGAUUAUGUAGCUUCUGAGAAUAAUAUGCCUGGAAUUUUUGAAGUAGAUGGCACUAUGUAUGUGCCUCUUUUGAGUGCAUGCGCAGAGCUCUCCUUGCUCAAUGUUGGAAGACAAGUCCAUGGCCUUCUUAUUGCGAUGGAGAAUUCAUCAGAAGAAGAUGGUGCAAUUAUUGGAAGUGCUUUAAUCAAUAUGUAUUGCAAGUGCAACAGUGUUGCUGAAGCUCAAAAAGUUUUUGAUGCUUGGCCAACUGCCCAAGUUGCCCUUUGGAAUUCAAUGAUAUCAGGGUAUAUGUAUAAUGGUUUAGUUGAAAAUGCCAGGGAAUUGUGGGAAGAAAUGCCAGAGAAAAAUGUCAUUUCAUGGACGAGCAUGAUAUCAGGGUAUGUGCAGAAUGGUAUGCCACGAGAAGGUUUAAGUUUACUUGCUAAAAUGUAUUCCCAUGGGGAUGGAUCCAGAGUAGAAGGAAACUGCUUCACUUGUGUGGCAGGUCUUGAAGCAUGUAGCCACUUGCCAAACUUGGAAAAGGGGAAACAAAUCCACGCAAAGCUUGCAAGGACACUAACAAAAGCUGAUAUAGAAAAUGUGGUCAUUGGAACGGCUUUGGUGGAUAUGUAUUCUAAAUCAGGUCAUUUGUCCUACUCACAAACUUGUUUUGAUUUGAUGAAAGAGAGAAAUGUAGUUGCAUGGACAUCUAUCAUAACGGGUUACGCAUUUCAUGGGUUUGGGUUUCGAGCUCUUGAAAUUUUCCAGCAGAUGAUGGAAAUGGGAAUUGAACCAAAUGAGGUGACAUUUGUAUCCGUCUUAACUGUUUGCAGCCAUUGUGGUUUAGUGGACAAGGGGUUGCAGUACUUCAGACUGAUGAGGGAGAAGUAUAGGAUCAUUCCGAGGGAAGAUCACUUUACAUGUUUGAUUGAUAUGUUGGGACGUGCUGGAAGAUUAGACGAAGCAUGGGCUUUGGUGGACGAAAUUGAGGAGGGAGAAACGAGCGAUGGGUGUGUUAGUGGUACCAUUUGGGCUGCAAUGCUUGGGGCAUGUCAAUUGCAUGGGAAUGUUGAAAUGGGGAGGAGAGUGGCUAACAAGAUGUUGGAGUCCAAGAAACAGGUCUCUAUGACUUAUGUUGCACUUUCUAAUGUAUAUGCUGCAGCAGGAAUGUGGAACGAAGCGUAUCGAGUAAGAGAGAAUUGGAGGAAAGAAGGUAAUAUUGAUGGAGGAGAGCCGGGCCUUAGCCGCAUCUGCACAACCCUUCAGUAAUUGGGUUUUUCUUGGUGAGAAGAAGAUGAUGACAUGGCACUUCUUGAUUUGAUUCUAAUUCAAGAAAUCAACUGAGAGGACAAAUAGUAGGAGAGGGGGACCUGUGCCUGCUUCUGCUCCUCAUUAUAGAGAAGCCCGAACUCAACAACGGCCAGAGAAUCCUAGAAGGGUCUCUGCUGAAGCUACAAAUGAAAAGGAUGGGA